rnacentral:rRNA from 1 species
ACGGACGAGAAGCUUGCUUCUCUGAUGUUAGCGGCGGACGGGUGAGUAACACGUGGAUAACCUACCUAUAAGACUGGGAUAACUUCGGGAAACCGUAGCUAAUACCGGAUAAUAUUUUGAACCGCAUGGUUCAAAAGUGAAAGACGGUCUUGCUGUCACUUAUAGAUGGAUCCGCGCUGCAUUAGCUAGUUGGUAAGGUAACGGCUUACCAAGGCAACGAUGCAUAGCCGACCUGAGAGGGUGAUCGGCCACACUGGAACUGAGACACGGUCCAGACUCCUACGGGAGGCAGCAGUAGGGAAUCUUCCGCAAUGGGCGAAAGCCUGACGGAGCAACGCCGCGUGAGUGAUGAAGGUCUUCGGAUCGUAAAACUCUGUUAUUAGGGAAGAACAUAUGUGUAAGUAACUGUGCACAUCUUGACGGUACCUAAUCAGAAAGCCACGGCUAACUACGUGCCAGCAGCCGCGGUAAUACGUAGGUGGCAAGCGUUAUCCGGAAUUAUUGGGCGUAAAGCGCGCGUAGGCGGUUUUUUAAGUCUGAUGUGAAAGCCCACGGCUCAACCGUGGAGGGUCAUUGGAAACUGGAAAACUUGAGUGCAGAAGAGGAAAGUGGAAUUCCAUGUGUAGCGGUGAAAUGCGCAGAGAUAUGGAGGAACACCAGUGGCGAAGGCGACUUUCUGGUCUGUAACUGACGCUGAUGUGCGAAAGCGUGGGGAUCAAACAGGAUUAGAUACCCUGGUAGUCCACGCCGUAAACGAUGAGUGCUAAGUGUUAGGGGGUUUCCGCCCCUUAGUGCUGCAGCUAACGCAUUAAGCACUCCGCCUGGGGAGUACGACCGCAAGGUUGAAACUCAAAGGAAUUGACGGGGACCCGCACAAGCGGUGGAGCAUGUGGUUUAAUUCGAAGCAACGCGAAGAACCUUACCAAAUCUUGACAUCCUUUGACAACUCUAGAGAUAGAGCCUUCCCCUUCGGGGGACAAAGUGACAGGUGGUGCAUGGUUGUCGUCAGCUCGUGUCGUGAGAUGUUGGGUUAAGUCCCGCAACGAGCGCAACCCUUAAGCUUAGUUGCCAUCAUUAAGUUGGGCACUCUAAGUUGACUGCCGGUGACAAACCGGAGGAAGGUGGGGAUGACGUCAAAUCAUCAUGCCCCUUAUGAUUUGGGCUACACACGUGCUACAAUGGACAAUACAAAGGGCAGCGAAACCGCGAGGUCAAGCAAAUCCCAUAAAGUUGUUCUCAGUUCGGAUUGUAGUCUGCAACUCGACUACAUGAAGCUGGAAUCGCUAGUAAUCGUAGAUCAGCAUGCUACGGUGAAUACGUUCCCGGGUCUUGUACACACCGCCCGUCACACCACGAGAGUUUGUAACACCCGAAGCCGGUGGAGUAACCUUUUAGGAGCUAGCCGUCGAAGGUGGGACAAAUGAUUGGGGUGAAGUCGUAACAAGGUAGCCGUAUCGGAAGGUGCGGCUGGAUCACCU